rnacentral:rRNA from 1 species
UACGUAGGGUCCGAGCGUUGUCCGGAAUUACUGGGCGUAAAGGGCUCGUAGGCGGCCAACUAAGUCAGACGUGAAAUCCCUCGGCUUAACCGGGGAACUGCGUCUGAUACUGGAUGGCUUGAGUUCGGGAGAGGGAUGCGGAAUUCCAGGUGUAGCGGUGAAAUGCGUAGAUAUCUGGAGGAACACCGGUGGCGAAGGCGGGUCUCUGGGCCGAUACUGACGCUGAGGAGCGAAAGCGUGGGGAGCAAACAGG